rnacentral:misc_RNA from 1 species
GAACGCACCUUGCGCUCUCUGGUAUUCCGGAGAGCAUGCCUGUUUGAGUGUCAUAAACUCUUCAACCCACCGGUUCCUUGUUGAACCGAGUUGGUGUUUGGAUUUUGAGUGUUUGCUUUUCAUUAAGCUCAUUCGUAAUACAUUAGCAUCUCAAUUUCGUAAUCGGAUUGACUCAGCGUAAUAGACUAUUCGCUGAGGACACUUUUAUUAGUGGCCGAGAAUGAAAAAGUUAGAAGCUUCGAACCCUUCUAGUCAACUUUAGAUUAGACCUCAGAUCAGGCAGGAUUACCCGCUGAACUUAAG